GGGCCCGCACAAGCGGUGGAGCAUGUGGUUUAAUUCGAUGAUACGCGAGGAACCUUACCAGGGCUUAAAUGUAAGUUGCAUAGAUCAGAGAUGGUCUUUUCUUCGGACUACUUACAAGGUGCUGCAUGGUUGUCGUCAGCUCGUGCCGUGAGGUGUCAGGUUAAGUCCUAUAACGAGCGCAACCCCUGUCGUUAGUUGCCAGCAAGUUAAGUUGGGCACUCUAGCGAGACUGCCGGUGCAAACCGCGAGGAAGGUGGGGAUGACGUCAAAUCAUCACGGCCCUUACGUCCUGGGCUACACACGUGCUACAAUGGCCGGUACAGAGAGCAGCCACUACGCGAGUAGGAGCGAAUCUAUAAAACCGGUCUCAGUUCGGAUCGCAGUCUGCAACUCGACUGCGUGAAGCUGGAAUCGCUAGUAAUCG
rnacentral:rRNA from 1 species